GGCCAAGAAAGCAUUAGCCAGGGUUGGGCCUUCAGAUCAAGCUGACGGAGCAGCAGAGUGAUCUUUGUGUCUGGCCCCAAAUGACAAACCGUUCUAAGUGCGAUUGCGAUUUGAUUGCAGGAGUAAUACGAUUUAUGAAUGGAGAUAUGCUUCGAGUGCAAUGCCAUUAUAUUAUAUUCAGAUAUUCUUAAAUGGUAAAUCGAUUUGGAUACAGUUUGAACGUUAUUUCAGCCUCUAUCUAUAUUGUUUUGUAAUUCCAGUUUAUACCAUACUAGGUUCAGAUCCGCACGUACGUUUGUCAACAUAUUUUUGAUAUAUAAUUUAUAACCUAGCUCAUAUUAGUUU
rnacentral:lncRNA from 1 species